rnacentral:rRNA from 1 species
UACGUAGGGUGCGAGCGUUAAUCGGAAUUACUGGGCGUAAAGGGCGCGUAGGCGGUCACGCACGUCCGUUGUGAAAUCGCUCGGCUCAACUGGGCGGGGUCAGCGGAUACGGCGUGGGCUGGAGCAAGCUAGGGGGCAAUGGAAUUCCCCGGUGUAGUGGUGAAAUGCGUAGAUAUCGGAAGGAACAUCGAGUGGCGAAAGCGACUCCUGGACCAAUACUGACGCUCAUGUGCGAAAGCGUGGGGAGCAAACAGG